GGGUGCAAUCAUACCAGCACUAAUGCACCGGAUCCUAUUGAAACUUCGUAGUUAGGCAUGCUUGGGAGAGAGUAGAACUAGGAUGGGUGACCUCUUGGCAAGUCCUCGUGUUGCACCCC
rnacentral:rRNA from 1 species